UUUAUUUAUUUAUUUAUUUAUUUUUUGCUUUAAAAAUUUGUUUCAUUUGUUAAUUGUCGCUCAAUCUUUUUGGUAUAUGUUAGUCCAAGCAGACGUAGUAAGAUACUAAAAAUUCUGCAGUAAAUAGCGUCAUGAGAGCCACGUUCCAAAAUUAUAAGUUCUACAAGAAAGCCCGCCAACGAUCACUGAUCACUGAUGCAGUAAUAAUGCCCAGAUCCUAGAGAAUGAAAUGUCACAAAUUAUUGAAAUUAAUCAUAGUUCUCUUUGCAAUAAUCGGCGUCUUCUUGCCGCAGAAGAUGGAUCUCACACUUCAUGUCGCUUUGCUAUUUAUUGUGGCGUUCCUAUUUUUGUUGAUCGGAGUCUACUUCUUGUUGAUGCAUUUAAUAGAGCCUUUCAUACAGCCAUAUGCCUAUCUCGUCUGGCAGAUAUCCAUUACAAUAACCUUGAUGUUUUUUGUUAUGUAUCAUGCACAAACAAUUAACGGCAGCCGAUUCGCGGAGAUGCGACUGCAUGAUUAUUGUCUUGGUUCUCUGAUCCUAUUCCAUGAUUUUCUGAUCAUAUACUGGCUAACAUUGUAUUGGCAAGUCUAUGCUAGGUUGGCGGCAGAUCCCUUAUGGGGUAUGCUGAGUACUGCGGCUUUGAAAAGCAACCAUAAUCCCAAAUUCAUUGAUCUAAGAAACGAAGAUUAUAGUGAUGAUUUGGUUUAUAUAACCCCUAGUAGCCAUCAGAAUAAAGUGAGAGUAAGGAGCGGAACAACUGAGAUAUCGAUAACCCUCGACUUUAUGGCGGAUGAUAUGAGUAUGUUUUCAAACCCAGUUAAAGACAAGUUGCCUAAUUUGUUUGAUCCCGAUCCCAUUGAAAAUCGUGCAUAUGAUUUUCGAGGAAAAGAUAAAGAUCAAUCAGAUCAACAAUAUGUUCUUGAGCCCGAUGAAAGCACAGUAAAUCCAGAGGACAAAGACGCCAAGGCUUACUCGAGGAAACCAGGUAACACAACCAGAUCCAAUGAUACUUUUCAAGAAUGACGAAUACUAUUGAUGUGAGAAAGUAAAUAAUAAAAAAAUAAGUAAAAUAACGACCGGACUACGAUUUUAAUCAAUCUUCUACCGUGGCCCUUUCAUAUUUAUCAUUUUCUAAUGUCCAAUAUAUAUAAGUAACCAACGUUUAGAAUUGGAUACAAAGUUCUAUUUUAUAUUUAUGUCAGAUGUAAAUAAAAUUAGCUUUGUUAUUUUAGUUAUUGCUUUGCUUUAAAAAAACACUAGUUACCAGAUUUGUAAAUUGUCGCCCCAAAUUUGUGGCAUAUGUUAGUAAGUUAUUAAAUUCUUCUCCAGUAAAUGGCGUCAUGAGAGCCACGUACCAAAAUUAUAUGUACUACAAGAAAGCCCGCCAACGCUUUGCUUGCACAGUCUAUAGCAUAUUGUUCGUGUGGCUUGCCUUGACACUUAUGCAGAUUGCGGUGAUAGCCCUCGUAAUCGACGCAAGGUAUUUUUUUUAUAUGAACUACUACAUCAGCUUUAUAUUCUUUGGUGUGGGAAUUUUACUAUUUGGUUUAUUUAUAUUGUUUGAGACGUUGCGUUUCAUUAUCGUGCUUAACUUUGUUCUGGCCAUCAUAAUUGUUGAGUCUCAAAUUAUUGCGCUCUUCGCGUUAGUCGCACGUGUUUUUUGGAUUGAUGUUCUUGCAUUCUUUUCAAUUUGCUUUGUGCUGCUCUGGAUAUUUAUUUUAUUUGGUUCGAUUCUUCCCAGAGAUGCUGACCUUACUUUAGAUGUAGCCGUAGUUUUCAUUAUUGCCUUCGUUUUUCUGGCAAUUGGAAUAUUCUUUUUGAUGGUGCAUUUCGCUAUACCUCGGACUGGGUAUUACUCUUACCUAGUCUUCGAAAUCGCAAUUACUAUUAUGAUACUAGCUUUCGUAAUGUACCACGCACAAACCAUCAACGGCGGUCGAUUCGCGGAGAUGCGGCUAAAUGAUGCACUUUUGGGAUCAUUAAUUCUCUUCCACGACUUUCUCAUUAUUUAUUGGUUAACUUUCUAUUGGCAAAUCUUAGUGAGACCAUUCACGCCCAAUAAUUGGAUUCUCUUGACGUACAUAGAAGAUGUUACUACUGUUGCACCUUGUGCUCAUCAAAGUCCCGAGGUAACGGUAGGUCCGUUACCUCAAGAAACUAACGCUCCCGAUAAACCUCCAGUUCAGCCGCCAGCCCCAACGCCAAUUCCACCGCCAACUCAACCACCAAUUCCACCGCCAACUCAACCACCAAUUCCACCGCCAACUCAACCACCAAUUCCACCGCCAACUCAACCACCAAUUCCACCGCCAACUCAACCACCAAUUCCACCGCCAACUCAACCACCAACUCAACCGCCAACCAAACCGCCAAUCAAACCGCCAGUUCGACCGCCAGUUCGACCGCCAGUUCGACCGCCAGUUCGACCGCCUAAACCUCCAGUUAAACCAUGGACAUGGGGUUAGAAAGCAGUAAACCGUGAGACAAAAAACCAAGCAGAACAUUAAGGCAACCAGAUCAUCGUCCACUUAAGCACCAUGCAUCAAGCUAAACCAGGCAUAUCUGGUGAAGACAUUUAAAUCGAUGAUGCUAUUUCAGGUCAAAAUCAAUGGAGAAACGGGACGUAGGAAUGGGGUACGUAGGCACCGAGAUCAGAAACAACGGAGACUUUUAGCUGACAAACAAACGGAUGCUAAUAACAAAUGCGGACUUACCGCAGUUUUCGCUAGAGGAUACGAAAAGAAGUAACGGUUGAAAAUAUAAACCGUGUUGCAAACAUGAAAAAAGAAAGGCAGAAAAUUCUGCUGAUUGAAAUUGUAGUAUACAGAUGAACAUUGCACUAGCGAUGAAAGAGACUUUCCAGUUCCUGAGCUCAGAGUGCGAUAUAGUAUUAUCUUUUCUAUAUUGCACUCUGAGAUCAGGAACUGGAACACGCUAGUGCAAUGUUCAUCUGUAUACUACAAUUACAAUCAGCAAUAGUUUGGGGAAGAUUAAGUUUCUGACGUAGAUAUGGGAAGGUCACUGAUGCAGUAAUAAUGCCCAGAUCCUAGAGAAUGAAAUGUCAGAAAUUAUCGAAAUUAAUCUGAAAUAUCUGCAAGUGAAGAAGUCUGCAUUCGGAAUCUUGAAAUAAUGCUAUUCUAUGAUAUUUUUACAAUGUUACAUUGCGAAACAAGUAAGAAAUAUUUAGUCGAUACUGCAGGACUACGAGAUCCGUGGGACCAUUUGAGGAACUGAUAUUUCAAAUAUUCUUUCCUUCUUUUCUGACAAAACUUUCGAAUAUAAUUGUUUAAUAAGUUUACUUGUAUAUGGACUAUCUCUAUCGUGACAAUAACAAAAAAUUGUGUAUAUCUACCAAA